AAAGAUUAAGCCAUGCAUGUCUAAGUAUAAAUAAAUUUAUAUUGUGAAACUGCGAAUGGCUCAUUAAAUCAGUUAUGAUCUACGUGACAUAUUCUUUACUACUUGGAUAACCGUGGUAAUUCUAGAGCUAAUACAUGCAAAAAGCCCUGACUUCGGAAGGGGUGCACUUAUUAGAUAAAGCCAACGCUGGGUAAAACCAGUUUCCCUUGGUGAUUCAUAAUAAUUAAGCGGAUCGCAUGGCCUUGUGCUGGCGACGGUCCACUCGAUUUUCUGCCCUAUCAUGGUUGAGAUUGUAAGAUAGAGGCUUACAAUGCCUA
rnacentral:rRNA from 1 species